rnacentral:rRNA from 1 species
AGCAGCCGCGGUAAUUCCAGCUCCAAUAGCGUAUAUUAAAGUUGUUGCAGUUAAAAAGCUCGUAGUUGAAUUUCGGGAUCAUCAGGUUGGUCGUGCCUCUGGUAUGUACUUUCCUCGAUGGCUCCUCCUUCUUGAAGAACCGUAAUGCCAUUAAUUUGGUGUUGCGGGGAAAUAGGACUGUUACUUUGAAAAAAUUAGAGUGUUUAAAGCAGGCAAUCGCUUGAAUACAUUAGCAUGGAAUAAUGAAAUAGGACGUUCGAUCCUAUUUCGUUGGUUUCUAGGAUUGACGUAAUGAUUAAUAGGGAUAGUUGGGGGCAUUAGUAUUCAAUUGUCAGAGGUGAAAUUCUUGGAUUUAU